UUCCGCAUUAAGUUUACUUUUGGUUACUAAAGUGACGCCACCGAAAUCGGGGUGUUACAAAAAUAGUGUAGCUCCGCAUUCGUCUGCAUCGAUCUAUGUUCCCCCUCACGAAAAGAAUGGGGAGAAUGAUGAUUUUCAAGAAGAAGGAGAUGGAGAUGGAGAUGGAGAUGGAGAUGGAGAUGGAGAAGGAGAAGGAGAAGGAGAAAAAGAAUAUUGAUUGCUUUUGGAAUUGAUAGUAUUUUCUUAUUUUGAAAGGCUGUUUGGAACUUAGUAUGACAUGUUGAGAUUUUAUUUUGUUGAUGCUUAUGUUGAUUUUAACAUUGGCACGAAUUGACUAGAAGCUGUCAAGUUGAACAUGAUUAGACAUUGCCAUUUUUUUUUGUAGUACCUUUAUUUUUGGCUCUUUGUGUUCUAAAUACAAUAUUUGUGUUAAUUAAGAUUUGGUCUUAGUUUCAUGCGA